rnacentral:rRNA from 1 species
ACCCAAAAAAGACAGUCACAGUUCGGAUUGAAGGCUGAAAUUCGCCUUCAUGAAGCCGGAAUUGCUAGUAAUCGCAGAUCAGCAUGCUGCGGUGAAUACGUUCCCGGGUCUUGUACACACCGCCCGUCACACCAUGAGAGUUAGGAAUACCCGAAGCCUGUGAGCCAACGCAAGAGGCAGCAGUCGAAGGUAGAACUAAUGAUUGGGGUGAAGUCGUAACAAGGUAUC